AACGAACGCUGGCGGCAGGCUUAACACAUGCAAGUCGAACGCCCCGCAAGGGGAGUGGCAGACGGGUGAGUAACGCGUGGGAACAUACCCUUUUCUACGGAAUAGCUCUGGGAAACUGGAAUUAAUACCGAAUACGCCCUACGGGGGAAAGAUUUAUCGGGCAAGGGUUGGCCCGCGUGGGAUUAGCUAGUUGGGGGGGUAAAGGCCUACCAAGGCGACGAGCUAUAGCUGGUCUGAGAGGCAGAUCAGCCACAUUGGGACUGAGACACGGCCCAAACUACUACGGGAGGCAGGCGUGGGGAAUAUUGGCAAACGGGCGCAAGCCUGAACCAGCCAUGCCGCGUGAGUGAUGAAGGCCUUAGAGUUGUAAAGCUCUUUAACCGAUGAAGAUAAUGACGGUAGUCGGAGAAGAAGCACCGGCUAACUUCGUG
rnacentral:rRNA from 1 species